rnacentral:lncRNA from 1 species
AGAAUUCAGGCCUGGAGUUUAGGAUUUCAGAGUUACAGAAACCCAGGCUUUCUGGGUCCGAUUCUACUUUUUAAUCCUGAGUGGCGACUCAACACUGUAGCAAAAUGAGAUGACAGAGGAGAUUCGAGCCUCUUCUGCCUCCCCCACGUCCACACAGAGAGAAAUCCAACCCUUGGCUGAGGCCUGAAAGAAGACCUGCAUUCACGCCGCGGAGGGGAGUGCUGCUCAGCUGUCAAAAGAACAAGCCCAGCAGAGGCAGGGUCAGAAGCCUAUGCACACCUGGAACUCCCUGUGUAGUCCAUGGAAACGCUUCUGAUUCGGCCUCCUAAAUUCUUGGGAAGAUGGACUGCUGGGGUGGGGCACUUGCUGCUAAGCCUGAAGACCUGAAAUCACUCUCCGGAACUCACGUGGUAGGAGAGAGAGAACCAACUCCUGAAAGUUGUCCUCUGACCGCCACAUGUAAUGGGGACACAGGCAACUUGUCUAGUAGGCCUAUGUAUACAGCUGAGUGUUUGGACCAAUCAUGGCCAUUUGUUUGGGCCAAACCCCCGUCUUGCCAAUUUUUUUUUUUUUUUUUUU